rnacentral:rRNA from 1 species
UACGUAGGUGGCAAGCGUUGUCCGGAUUUACUGGGUGUAGAGGGCGUGUAGCCGGGCUUACAAGUCAGAUGUGAAAUCCGGGGGCUCAACCCCCGAACUGCAUUUGAAACUGUAGGUCUUGAGUAUCGGAGAGGCAGGCGGAAUUCCUAGUGUAGCGGUGAAAUGCGUAGAUAUUAGGAGGAACACCAGUGGCGAAGGCGGCCUGCUGGACGACAACUGACGGUGAGGCGCGAAAGCGUGGGGAGCAAACAGG